CUACUUUUCACUUUUCCUGAUUCUAAAGAAGUGUAACCUAGUCUUCUCAAAACAAUGGGCCGGCUUCUUACACUGUAUCUACCUAGACAACUAUGGCGACUUAGUCUUUGCUCAGUUGUUACCAACUCAGAAGCAAAACUGAACUGUCUGACCUUCAAAAGCUUGGUCAGGAUAGGUCAACAGUUCUUACUUAUUUAUCUUGACUCUUAAUGAUGUUCAUUACCAGAGUUCUGGAAAAUAAGGAAAAAGAUUAUGGAUUAUGGAUCUCUGGAAUAAAAACAUUUAGUGUCACAGCAAAAGAAGUUUUGAGUUUAUAUACAAAUUAAGUAAAAGACUAAUUUUGGUUUUGAAAAACUCGUUCUCUAAACUUUUACAGGAAGUUUAAAUAAAUUACAUCAUGAACAAAACUGCAGUAUGCCAGUUCCUAUCCUCAUGACCUCACGAUUCUGCCUGAGCUCCACAUCAAUGAAAGGAAAAUCGGAUAAUGAAGCACUUAGUCUAAUAUCUCAAUAGCAACCACCAAUUAGGAUUACUUUUUAGAAAAGAAAAAAAAACCUAACCUUAUAUGUAAAUGUAUCUAGUGUGCAAAUGACAUAAUGCUUAUAUGUAUGUAAAUCUAUCUAGUGUGCAAAUGACUUAAUGCCGGGGUGGGUAAACUGUGGCCGAGAGUACCCCAAAUCCAGCCCACUCCUGCUUUUGUAAUAAUUCACCAGCUAAGAAAUGUUUUCAUAUUUUUUUAAUAAUUGGGAAAAAUAUAUACAUUUUGUGACACGUGAAAAACCACACAAAAUUCAAAUGUCA
rnacentral:lncRNA from 10 species